GACGAACGCUGGCGGCGUGCUUAACACAUGCAAGUCGAACGGUAAGGCCCUUCGGGGUACACGAGUGGCGAACGGGUGAGUAACACGUGGGUGAUCUGCCCUGCACUUCGGGAUAAGCCUGGGAACUGGGUCUAAUACCGGAUAGGACUCCUGCCUGCAUGGGUGGGGGUGGAAAGCUUUUGCGGUGUGGGAUGGGCCCGCGACCUAUCAGCGUGUUGGUGGGGUGGUGGCGUACCAUGGAGACGACCGGUAUCCGGCCUGAGAGGGUGACCGGCCACACUGGGACUGAGAUACGGCCCAGACGCCUACGGGAGUGAGCAGUGGGGAAUAUUGCACAAUGGGCGCAAGCCUGAUGCAGCGACGCCGCGUGAGGGAUGACGGCCUUCGGGUUGUAAACCUCUUUCAGCACAGACGAAGCGCAAGUGACGGUAUGUGCAGAAGAAGGACCGGCCAACUACGUGCCAGCCGCCGCGGUAA
rnacentral:rRNA from 1 species